rnacentral:lncRNA from 1 species
AUUGGUUUGAGUGUAAUCCUUCUACUCUGUGUUUAAACUCUGUGUAAACAGUAGCAGCCCAUUAAAAGCCGAUGAACCCACUGGAGGAGGAACUGGGUCAAGUUAAAAUGUUACAUCUAAUUCCCAGCUAAGUGACACUGUUUCCUUUCUAGUUUUGCCAUCAGCUUGACCUGUGGUGACUCUGAAGAUCCUCCUGCCGAUGUGGCGAUUGAACUCAAAGCUGUGUUCACGGACCGGCAGCUCCUCAGAAACUCUUGUAUAUCAGGAGAAAGAGGCGAAGAGCAGUCAGCAAUCCCUUACUUUCCGUUCAUCCCGGACCAGCCGUUCAGGGUGGAGAUUCUGUGCGAACACCCUCGCUUCAGAGUGUUUGUGGAUGGACACCAGCUCUUUGAUUUUUACCAUCGUAUCCAAACGUUAUCUGCAAUUGACACCAUAAAGAUCAAUGGGGACCUCCAGAUCACCAAACUUGGCUGAUGUUUUAACGCACUUCUGUUGCAAAUACGAUCAAUCAGGUGCCACAUCUACACAUCUACGUGACUAUCUG